AUGUGUCGGCUAGUUAUCCUCCAAAACCACCCAUAAUAACAUAUAAAAAAAACGUUGUCAGUUGUCACCAUUCACAUCCAGAGCUCUUAUUUCCAUCAAUGGGGAACUGUGUGUUCAAAGGGAACACCACAAGUGAGGGCGUUUCGGACGAAAAGGUGGUGACCUCAAACGGAGGUAUCAUGGAGCUCUACACCCCCAUAACCGCAGAGCGCAUAACCAACGAGUUUUCCGGCCACGGAAUAUUCCGAAGCCGCCGCGACCUGUUAUCGGAGCCGCUGCACCACGACGAGGAGCUUCACGCGGGGGAACUCUACUACCUCCUUCCUCUGGACCCUUCUCGCAGGUUGACAUGUAGCAAGAGAAUGAUGAGGCACGUGUCCAACGCUGGUGGUAGUGCAACCUUAACGCCUUAUAGGAUGUCUACCUACGAAAGCAACAAUAACAAUAAUAAUAGGGUGUGGUCGGAAGCAGGGGAUGAAGUGUUUCCGAGGAAGGGGGUGUGGAAAGUAAAGUUAGUGAUAAGCCCGGAGCAGCUGUCGGAGAUUUUGUCGCAGGAGUCGCGGACCGAGGCGUUCGUCGAGAGCCUGAGGACGGUGGCGAAGUGCGGCAGUGGGCUGCCGUUGGUGCCCAAUUCCGAUCACUCGAGUGUGUCCAUCACUGACAAUCAAGGUUUACAUGGUUAAAUUAAUUAAUAUUUUGCUCUUUUGUUAUUUAAUUCAUAACCCAGAUAAUCUUAAUCUUUCACAAAUUUAUAGCGUUAAGUUUUAGUUUUUUUUUUUAAGAUAGUUUCUACGGUAUUCAAAUAAUUUAAAUAAAAUAGUGCAUGUAUUCAUCUA